rnacentral:lncRNA from 1 species
AUGUGGCAGUGAGUUAAUGAGGAGAGAGGUAAGAGGGGUUUCAUCAUGUAUGCAUAAUUACCAACACGGUUUGUGUCUUGCAUGUAGUGCAUAUGAAACUACACCAUAAAAUUUUGGAUUGUAGAGGUAGUUUCAAACACAAUGUCAUUUUCAUGUUGCUUAUGUGGCUAUCUUGAAAACAUUAAAAUGAAACUCUUCAUUGGGAUUAACCUAAGUAUCAAUUUUCGCAUUGCAUAUCGAUUUGGCAUGCAAUAUUUAAGGCAAAUGCCGG